GCGGCCAUAGUUUAGUGGUAAAACGUAUCGUUGCCAACGAUAAGUCGGGGUUUCGAUUACCCCUGGCCGCACAA
rnacentral:tRNA from 1 species